AAGAGACAGCAGUAGCCGCGGGAAUACAGAGGGUGCGAGCGUUAAUCGGAUUUACUGGGCGUAAAGCGUGCGUAGGCGGCUUCUUAAGUCGGAUGUGAAAUCCCUGAGCUUAACUUAGGAAUUGCAUUCGAUACUGGGAAGCUAGAGUAUGGGAGAGGAUGGUAGAAUUCCAGGUGUAGCGGUGAAAUGCGUAGAGAUCUGGAGGAAUACCGAUGGCGAAGGCAGCCAUCUGGCCUAAUACUGACGCUGAGGUACGAAAGCAUGGGGAGCAAACAGGAUUAGAGACCCGAGUAGUCCCUGUCUCUUAUAC
rnacentral:rRNA from 1 species